rnacentral:lncRNA from 1 species
UGUUACCCACUUAAAAAUGAGUGCCUUCGGAAAUUUGCUCUCUUUUGGAUAAAACUUUAAGUAAGUAAAACCAAUGUAGUAUUAUCUGUAACAAGAGGUGUUUCCCAACUUAUUUGGGUCGCUGGGAAGAGCCCAUGUACCAGGCUAUACAAACCAAAUACCAUCUAGCCGCCGUUUUGCACCGGUGACCAUGAAACUACAGUAAAGGCCUGCACCCGAAUACCUUCACCGUCAGUCAACAGGGCUACGUGGAGCCGAAGUUCCUCCAAGACCAGAAGACAGCAACGGAGAUCCCUCGACGCCUCGACGAUCGCAUAAGAUGAGUAGCCUCUUGCAGUUAGAUGUUCGCAAAGUGCUGCUGAAUGAACUAUUUUCUUGACAACAAGUCUUUUUAUUGUUAAUAAAUUUCAAUUUUCCUUUAUUCAAUAUUUUGAAUGGCGAUAAUGUGUAUUUAAUAGAUUUAAUAAGGUCAAUAAAUGAAUAUGUGAA